rnacentral:rRNA from 1 species
AUUGAACGCUGGCGGCAUGCCUUACACAUGCAAGUCGAACGGCAGCACGGGUGCUUGCACCUGGUGGCGAGUGGCGAACGGGUGAGUAAUACAUCGGAACAUGUCCUGUAGUGGGGGAUAGCCCGGCGAAAGCCGGAUUAAUACCGCAUACGAUCUACGGAUGAAAGCGGGGGACCUUCGGGCCUCGCGCUAUAGGGUUGGCCGAUGGCUGAUUAGCUAGUUGGUGGGGUAAAGGCCUACCAAGGCGACGAUCAGUAGCUGGUCUGAGAGGACGACCAGCCACACUGGGACUGAGACACGGCCCAGACUCCUACGGGAGGCAGCAGUGGGGAAUUUUGGACAGUGGGCGAAAGCCUGAUCCAGCAAUGCCGCGUGUGUGAAGAAGGCCUUCGGGUUGUAAAGCACUUUUGUCCGGAAAGAAAUCCUUGGCCCUAAUACGGUCGGGGGAUGACGGUACCGGAAGAAUAAGCACCGGCUAACUACGUG